rnacentral:rRNA from 1 species
GCCUAUACAUGCAAGUCGAACGCUUUUUCUUUCACCGGAGCUUGCUCCACCGAAAGAAAAAGAGUGGCGAACGGGUGAGUAACACGUGGGUAACCUGCCCAUCAGAAGGGGAUAACACUUGGAAACAGGUGCUAAUACCGUAUAACACUAUUUUCCGCAUGGAAGAAAGUUGAAAGGCGCUUUUGCGUCACUGAUGGAUGGACCCGCGGUGCAUUAGCUAGUUGGUGAGGUAACGGCUCACCAAGGCAACGAUGCAUAGCCGACCUGAGAGGGUGAUCGGCCACACUGGGACUGAGACACGGCCCAGACUCCUACGGGAGGCAGCAGUAGGGAAUCUUCGGCAAUGGACGAAAGUCUGACCGAGCAACGCCGCGUGAGUGAAGAAGGUUUUCGGAUCGUAAAACUCUGUUGUUAGAGAAGAACAAGGAUGAGAGUAAAAUGUUCAUCCCUUGACGGUAUCUAACCAGAAAGCCACGGCUAACUACGUGCCAGCAGCCGCGGUAAUACGUAGGUGGCAAGCGUUGUCCGGAUUUAUUGGGCGUAAAGCGAGCGCAGGCGGUUUCUUAAGUCUGAUGUGAAAGCCCCCGGCUCAACCGGGGAGGGUCAUUGGAAACUGGGAGAC